AACGAGGCCGACCUGCGGCUGAGUUACCUGCGGAAGGAUCAUUAGAGAUUUUGUGCCCCGCGCACUAAAAAUUUCCACGAUUCUCACACCUGUGCACAACGGCACGCACGCGGCCGCCAGGCCUCGCUGCGCGCACAUUCACAAAAACAUCAUCCUGUUUUGUCGAACGUAAUCAUUUAUAAAAACACAACUUUUAACAACGGAUCU
rnacentral:misc_RNA from 1 species